CCUGGACUGAGUUUAAGCCACCGGGUCCAGGACUCAAACCACAGUCGACUACAUGGGAGUCCAGCAACAUAGUCGUUACGCUAACUGCUGGUCCUUCCCUUGUGAAUACUUCUAACUAGAAAGGUGAGGAAGAGAAAAUUGCCUGGAUUUCUUCUCAUCUAGAGUGGAAGACACAUCAUGUGUCAUGGCGUAAAUGGGCGUUAGAGCGUGUGUCCCUCUCACUGCCAGGAUCCCACAGUGAUCCGUGCCCAGAUCCCUGGUUUAUUUACUUAGACCACAGGUGUUUCUGGGAACAACUAUUUUUGUACUGGGCUCCAUUCUAGGGUCAAUAAUUGUAUUUGAGUAGUAAGAAAAGAUCCCUAAUGCUAUGUGAAUAGGAGUUAUUACUGCUCUAAAGAAAAAAAAUGACCAGAUGGUAUUAUUGGAUUCACCUAACUUCAGUUUAAGUGGCUAGGGGGGUCUCUCUGAGAAAGUGACAUCUACCUGAGAAAGGAAUGAUGAGAAAAACACAGCCAUGUUAAGAGCCAAGGGAAAAGUAUUCCAAGGAGACACGGCAGGAGAAAGGAUAAAAUGUGGGAAACACGCCAAGUUUAAGGGACAGAAAGCGUGUGCAGAGGCUGAAACUAGUGAGCAAGGGGGUUUAGCAGCACGAGAGCAGAAGGCCGACGAGGAGAUCUGGAGCCUAAUCAUACUAGACCUGAAGGCGAUGUAUCAGUUGACAAAAACAAAAAUAAGAACGACAAA